UCAUCGGAUAUUAUUUUGGGACACGCUGUCCCUAACACAAGUGAGCUCCCCCAGUAACGUCCACGUUGCACCAGCUUUGGCAAUGGAGUUCUUCGACAAUGCACUUGGAGGCAGUUCUGAUGCUGAUCAUCGGCCCAUUCGAGGCACCAGCCCUCACAGUAUGAUCUACCUGUGGAGGCCCAUGAACGGUUUUUUCCUCGGCGACUCAUCGCUCCAUCCCCUGCAAGACAGGGUUGUCAUGCCGGGAAAGUCUUAUCUUUACCCCCAAAGCAUACUUGACAUGGGAAACACUUGGUGGGCAAAAUGGUAUACGGUGCUUCAAUACCCAAGAGACACAUGCUGCCUACCCUUACGACCCGUCACGAACAAGACGACAACCGCUCAUCGGCUAUCGUUUUGAGACACGCUGUCUCAAGUACAAGUCAGCUCUGCGAGUAACGUUCUCAUCUCGCGGACUAUGGGGCCGUUCCAAGCAACGGCCCUAGCAGCAACAUGCAUCUGUGGCGGCCCAUGAACGUUUUCUUCCUCGGCGACUCGUCUUUCCAUACCCUGCAAGACAGAGUUGUCAUGACGGAGAAGUUGACAGAGUUUUAUCGUUGCCCCCAAAACAUGUUUAACAUGGUACGUAUGCGUGGUGUUGAAUGCUUGAAGGCUUUCCUUCGAUAAGGUACUAGGUUACAAUAUUGGUUAUACAUCGGACAUUUUCCCUGAACAUGCCGUACAACAUAUCGAUUUCCUGCACAAAUCUGUGUGAUAGACGAGGAACACGCGUACAGAACAGCAGGCAGAGAGUGCACCGCGGCAUGAAUAUGUAAAUAAUACGAUUCUGCUAUACGCUGUAACUAUAUAUACUGCUCUGGAAGCUGUGCAGGAAUGUCACUCAUCGAUAAGACAUGAUAAGAGAUAUGCAUAGCACUAGAGACCUGUUGCGUGGUAACUAUAUUCGGGGUGAAAGAGAGAAGGAUAGAUCCACAGGCCAAAAAUUUAUGUGCUAUCCUUACUUAAGAAAACCCUAAUCGCUCUCGCACAACAUGAAGUACACGUCCUUUGUGUCAUUCCAAUUUAUUCGACACAACGAGAUAGUCCAGCAUCGUGAAGUCACGGAUUAUAUGUUGCACGAGGGUAAAGUGAGAGUAAAUCGAUUUUAGCUGAGAUGAAGAAUCCACUUUGUACGUACAUUUUCAUCUUAUUGUUAUGCCUGUUUUGAGGCUCGUUUUUAUGUGCGUGUAUUGGCAUCGAAGCGGACCUUGAUGGCGGAUAGGUACAUGCCUGUCCAGAGAGAAACGCUGCAUUUCGAAAGUAUACCGAUCAAGGUGAGUGAAACAUCGCCGUUCUGUUGACCCGGUGUGUUUUUCUAGCUCGCACUGUUUCCAAACGAGUGCCACACGUUGCACUGAGGUUUGAAAUAAAAUUGGAGAUCAUGUGCGUACAUGUACAGGGAAAGCUGCAGAGUGGAAACUGACCGUGGAAAAACAUUUACAAAGGCACAUGACACUCAUCAAGUUCUCAAGAGUAAAAAAAAAAAAAAAAUGGACGAGCUCAGUCGUGUCCGAUCCGUAGUGCUUUACUUGAAAAUGUCACGAUAUCCGAUUGCUCCUUUGCGGGAGUUGAAAUUUGUUGACGAAGGUGCUGGAGUUUCUUUUAGUAUCAGAAGGGAUACAGCGCCUGAUUGGACAACAGUAUUAUAACUUGCCUUUAAGUUGACGAUAGUGGGGUUUAUCUUGGUUCUGGUGAAAGACCCCUCGGUAGUUUCAUUUUAACUCGAACAAGAAUUCAACAAGGUGCGGAAGUCGUAUCUGUUGAAUUCAAACGAAAAAAAUAUAUGUUGGAGGGGACCUCGGACAAAGUAUAAAAACACGGGCAUGGUUCAUAGACAGUGGGCUGCUUACGGGCCUUCAGCCAGCUGGGAGUUGUUUUUGUUGCCUUUUAACGGUACUCGCCAAGGUACUCAAGUUUAACGGCAUCACCCUAUUCCACGGCAAUUCCACUUUCAUUGAUUUCACAUGCUUAAUGUGUAGCUGCUCUUAUCUUGCAGCCUCUGGGACAACGUGAAAUGGUGUCCUUUCUCAGACAUUCAAUAUGUAGUAACGCGCUCUCUAAAUUUUAGCAGAAGGAAAGACACUUCAUAGUUCUGAGUGGUAUAUUACGUAUUCGCAGGAAUGCACUUGGUGGGCAAAAUGGAACACAGUGCUUUAACACACAGGAGACACUUGUUGUCUACCAUCGUUGUUUUGUGGCUGCAAUGAUGACAUGUUUAUCGUCACGGUUUAUAUCUCCCACAGGUUGGGUUUGGGAUGAAACUGCAGAUUACUCAGUACGCAAGCAGCACAACGUACUGAAAGCCUAUAUGCAAUAGGUGUGGACGGCCUUGAUCAUAACCGUGAAGCAGAGCUGUACACGUUACCCCCCCCCCCCCAAAAAAAAGGAAAUAAAUACGUUACUCGUUCCUUCGAAAAAAUAGUAACUAAAUACGUUACCCGUUACUCACAAAUAAAAGGAACGCGUUCUCGUUACUUUGAAGUAACGAGUUACUUCUAUACGUUACAUUUGCAUACCAGACAGCAGAAAUACGAAAGCAUCGCCUAUCUGUAGGCUCGUUCAGCUGCCCAGAGGGCGCCCUCGCUCAUCACUACCAUCAGUGCCACCUGUGGUGGCAAGGAUAAGUUAUUUCCCGCAUUUAUUUCAGUUAUUUCGCAGUUUCCUGCAGUUAUUUUAUCAAGCAUGGCACACAUUCACUGAGGUAGGUCGAACACAAGACAGUGUUCGCGCGAUGACGUAUGCAAUCGCCAACAUCGUAUCCUACGCUCGUAGAAUAUGCUGGAAAACUUUUCCUCCGCCCGCUAACCAGGGAAGAAAGCCGGCGCCAGUGUCGCCGUUCCAAACUCUAGCCGAACAUCCCUAUAUCGCCUACAUAUGUUAUCUUGUAUGCUGUAUUGUCUCAUGUACACUGUCGACUCGCGCUUGCAUUAAAUAAGCCCAAGGCCAAAUGUACACCAUACGGACAACAGGGUUGAAGGCGGUGAUCUGUAAGAGGGAUUUUCAGGGAAAAAAACGGAGUUCAUUCACAAGGAGGCCUUCACAUGAUCAUUGACAUGAGUUCUCGAGUAGGGGACAGAGAGACAAAGCACUAGACGCCCUGAGCGCAGUGAAUACUUGAAAGAAGGGACACAUUGAGUGUGCUGAAACACUGUGGACACUAUAGAGUAAUGAAAAAGGCGUUGCUCUCUGGUAUCCUUUUCUCUUCGCUGGGGAUUUUUCCGCAUGCUUGAGCCUCGUGGAAUACCGCCACGUGCGCGGGAAAAACCACAACUGGCGGUCGUGGUUGGUGACAGUGAGCAAAAAGAAAAAAAGGAACGAGUAACUUGCAGUAACGCGCUACCAAUUUUUGUAACUAAGUACGUUCCUAGUUAUAUUUUUUGCAAAGUAACUAGGUCGUUACUUAGUUACAAACAGUAACGCGUUACGUACAGCUCUGCCGUGAAGGUAAAAAACAUUGAUAAGACACAUACCGUCCACCCCUAUUGCACUCGACUUUCAAUACAUUGUGCUUCUUGGGUAAGCUUACAUUACGUGCAUGAGCAAAACGUCAACAUUUUACGAAUGAUACGACAAAAGAACAAUUAUCCAGUCCAAUAUGACAGCGUGAACGCAUGACAUUACACACGUCCAUCAAUUCACAUAUAUAUCAUUCCACCUACAGAAUGCUACGCUAACGUCUCGUGAACACUUUUCAUGCGUGCAAAGCUUGGCAGGAGUAUGACACACGUCAAAACGCAUGCGAAACAGAUAAUCCAUCGCUAUAAAUUCCAAUGUGGACUAAAAAAGUUAUUCGGUGUCUUCCGUUGACACGUUUACACCAGCCAUUUAGUGUAGCACUAGGGAGUUUUAGUUCCCACUACGAUAACACGCCGACCGGUACGAUGUCGGAAAAACAGAUACGACUCACGAGUCGGUGGGAAUGAUUCGUAAAGCGCUUGUCCGCAGUUUUAGUUUGCAGACGAAAAGUCACCGAGAACUACCCACCGAUACGGAAAAUCAAGCGGGACGCCAUCUGUUCGCAAAAAUCUUAACUUCGUUUGCUAGUAUCCAGUUACAUUAUGCGCAUGAAAUGCGUGUUACAAGCAUUUGUAUCAACGGUUCUGGAAGACGUAAUGUUGCUAAAUGUUUCUCAACAGCUUUUGGUCGCAAAUAGUCUGCGAAACAAUGCACAUCUUCACUUAGGCUUAGGCGUCCAGACGAGGGAAAGUCACACAAGGUGCGAAGUACACACACUACGCCUCGUCAACAAUCCACUGUCCUUUCUUCAGAACGUCCGCUACGAUACCCGUGGUUGUCACCCAGCCAUGGUUUCGGGAAGUUACAGACCAAAAUCGUUCGCAGUGCACGCCGCAAGCGAACGAUAUUGUUUCUGUUGUUGUCAGCCAUCUUGUUUGUAAGUCAACGCUGUGCGCAUGCUCCAGCUGAGUGGGAGCACGAAAGCUCGCACGAAAGAAGUCCGAUAAAUUCGGAACGAGUGGGAUUCCGAUAUUUUUUCGUUCCCUCAGAUGUGUAAUCGGCGUAUGCCGGCACAGUUCCCCUGAAGUCGGCCCAUGGACGCAGCUAUCCUCCCCCCGAGCGGAUUCCGCUUGGUCUUCCACUUCACCCUUUCCUCUCCUCCUCUCCACCACCUUUCCCUUCCCGAGAAACAUGCCGCUUAAUCAGGCAGACCUCUCGGGUUCCUCCCAACGACACUCCUCCUCCUCCUCCUCCUCCUACUCCUCCUCCACUUCUGCUCCUCCUCCGAUAUUUUUCGUAGCCGAUAGAGAUCUCCGACUCAGUUUACGCAUGCGCAGUUUGCGGAAAGCUGAGUCGGAAGCUAUCGGAGGAGCAGAAGUGGACAACUAAAACUCCCCAAUAUCUCCUAUAAUCUGUGAAAGCUUGUUUCGGUCAUCAAUACAUAUCGAUAAAACGAGGGAUAUAAGGAUAUCUCUAUGGCUAAAGCUGGGCAUGACACAUUUACUGUGUUUAGUUUCGCUGCUGAUCGAUCGACGUGUGUACGUCGCUCAUAGCCACAGUUACUAGCACAGUGUUAACAUGGUACAAAAAAAUUGGGGCGGGCUCAGUCGUGUCGGAACCGUAGUGUUUUACUUUACUUUAGUACUUUUACGUUACGUUAAAGAAACGGUACGCGUGGCAAAGCUCGUUCGCCUCCAACGACACGGCGAAGCAAAACGUCAAACCGAACUUGGGUGUAUUUACGUCAAAAUAAAAAUAAAUAAAUAAAGCAAGUUCGGUGUUGAAUUGAAGAGGAAAGUAAAACAGAUUGUUCUAUGCCUUCGGGGGGCUUCUGAAUAACCUGGAGGAGACAUUUCAAGCGGUUUGAAGUCAAAUGUUUUCCAGUUAGCGACAAAUUGGCACGUUGUCUCAAUGCAGACAGAGAUUGCGCACUUUUCUAAUUAUUGUUCAUUAAUCUGUGGAUUACUAUUACAAGGUACUUUUCUUUCUCUGUACUGGACGGUAGACCUUUUCACAUUGUAAAGGUGUCUGGUGUCUGGCCCUUCAGCAAGAGGGAUGCAGCUCUGACAGUGCUUCUGAGGUUUAUUGCACAGUAUUCUUUGGAAUUCGUUUAUUACGUUUUGUGCGCUCUCGGUGUGUGAUGUUGUUAUUGUUGACGCGGUAGCGGACAUCUCCGCUGUUGCUAUCGCACUGUCGUUUAUGUUGAGCACAUGUUAUCGCUUCGUAUACAAUUGUGGCCCCACGACUACGUUUUGGCGGGUGCGUGUUUUACGACGCGUUUCUGUUCUUGCCACAAUCUUUUCUUUGUGCAUGUUUUUUUUUGUCUUUUGGAGUUACAGAAUUAGUUGGGUGCCGAAUUCAAUUUCUCCAUAUCGUUUUAAAUUUUGUUAUCAACUUAUCAACUUUCUCUGUGCUUGUGUGUCGUGUGUGCACGCGGUUUCAUUUUACGUUUCUACUUUAUAAUGUUGAUAAUUUGGUGGAUCGACAAAGGCCACAUAAAACAAGUGGAAUUCAGUACUGCAUAUACGAGGGUGGUUCCAUAAGUUUCCGGCCCGAGGUAGAAAAUGCGCGCGAAUUUGAAAAUGCGAUUAAGGACGCGUGGCGCCAUCUGUUGGAGCGCCGGAGCACCACCCUCAACCCUCUCCAUGCUUUUGUCGGUUGGAGAGCGGCAUUUCAAACAGCCAGGGUGCACUCCUCAGUUAAAAUGAAAAAAAAAAAAAAAAAUCGAGUACCGCGCUGUGAUAAAAUUCUUGACAAAAGAGGGACUUUCGCCUAAAGAAAUUAAAGCGCGACUGGACAUUGUGUACAGGGAAGCCCCUCCGUCGUACACAACGGUAAAAGACUGGGCAAAGCAGUUUCGACUGGGGCGAGAGUCCAUUGAAGAUGAUCCACGCGAUGGUCGUCCAGUGGAAGUGGUGACACAAGAAAAUUUGUCUCUUGUCGAGGAGGAAGUGCUGAGCGACAGGCGUCUGAAGGUGAAGGAAAUCUCAGAAAGGCUGGGGCUUUCCAAAACAACCGUUUUUUGCAUCAUCGGCGAGGGCCUUCACAUGAAAAAGGUCAGUGCGAGAUGGGUGUCACGACUUCUCUCGUCAGUUCAAAAGCAACAGCGCGUCGUCUGUGCCAAAGAGUUUUUGGAGCUCUGGAACGAAGAAGAAAUAUUGAAGUCAAUUGUCACAGGGGAUGAGAGAUAUGGUGCUCUACUAAGAUCCCCUUUCGAAAGAGGAGUCGAUGGAAUGGCGCAAACCAGGAGAAGCACCCCCAAGAAAAGCCAAGGUCACACAAUCCACAAAGAAGAUCAUGGCAACAAUAUUUUGGGAUUGUCACGGGACCCUCCUCAUCGACUUCAAAGAGAGGAACACCACAGUGAAUGCGACUUAUUAUGCUUCACUCCUGCACCGACUACGAGACGCCAUCAAGGAAAAGAGGCGCGGCAGGUUGAGUCGAGGUGUCCGGUUGCUCCAGGACAAUGCCCCUGUCCACACGGCUUCUGUUGCCAAGGCUGCACUGAAGGAGUGCGGCUUCGAAGAAAUCUACCACCCACCCUACAGUCCAUACUUGGCACCGAGUGACUACUUCCUGUUCUCAAAUUUGAAGAGGGAUCUCAGAGGACGGAGAUUUCAAAACGAUAGUGAGGUGCAAGGGCAGCUUUCCAGCAUUUUGCGGACAAAACUUCGGACUAUUUUUUCAAGGGUAUAAGAAUGCUGGUUGAAAGGUGUCAAAAGUGCAUCGAAGUUAAGGGUGACUAUGUCGAAAAGUGAUACACUUGUUUCGUCUCUAUGACUAUUAAAAGUUGGUCGGGCCGGAAACUUAUGGAACCACCCUCCUACGCUGCACGAGCGCACACUGUCCUCUUGCUUGAAAAGGUCUCUUUCUGUGUGCAUGUGUGCGUGUAUGAGCGCGCUCGCUUUCAUUGUACAUUUUGCGUGAAUGUACUUAGGACAUCCACUGUGACACCACAGCAUGUUUAAGAAUGAAAAGAGAUCGUCAAGCAAGGAAGGAAGAAGCUGAAGACAGAAAUCGUUAGCUAUUAAAAUAUAACUACUAUUGUUAUAUAAGGCUCUAACAUAGCCACCUCUUCAUACUGUGUGAGAAACAAUGCAAAUCAAGAAAUAAAUGCCA